AUUCAAAGAUACAAGAAAAUCCAAAUCAGGAGGUGAAUCUCAUUUUAAAAGAUUAACAGUAGAUGAAAUAAAUAGAAAUGCAGAAGAAUUAAUAUCUGAGGAGGAGAAAGAAAAAAGAAGAUUAGAGAAAAGAAAAGCAAAGAAAAAG